CUGUGGAAUAGUCUGUUCAUUCAGCUCCAGCCCAAAUCCUCCUCCCUAAAAAUGUACUGUAUUUCGUACAGUCGUGAAAAGAUGUUGUUAAUCAAGUUUAAUACAAAAGGACAGUUAAUGCCGGGAUCGAAGGAAUGUGCCAUGAUUUGACAGAUUUCACACCAGUGUCUCCUAGUUUCAGAAGUGAUCUCAGCAAUGUUGUAACAGAAAGAGCAAGACAUGGCCUUGUGAAUCCGAGCGGCAGCCCUAUACUUGAGACCAAUUCGUGUAACUAAGACAUUUCAGGGACGACAAGGAAAAUUCAGAGGGAACGAGAAUAAUAAAUGCAAAUUAUGAAUCCGUUUACCAAACAGCGGCAAGAGGAAGUUCACAGUCUCCAAGGCACCAGAUUACACCAUUGAUCCGGACCCAAAAUGGCUCCACGUCUGGCAUUUUCAGAGGCCGUUUCUAAGUCAAUGUCAUCCUAUCGGCCUCAAACUAAGAGAGACAAAUACGACUGG